GACCGACUCCAAGCUUCCAGACGCCCAGGCUGGAUACGAAAAGGGACUCACCGUGGCCCUUGCGGGCCACGCGGGCGCCAACCUCGUCUACGAGUCG
rnacentral:ncRNA from 1 species